GACGAACGCUGGCGGCGUGCUUAACACAUGCAAGUCGAACGAAGAGCGAUGGAAGCUUGCUUCUAUCAAUCUUAGUGGCGAACGGGUGAGUAACGCGUAAUCAACCUGCCCUUCAGAGGGGGACAACAGUUGGAAACGACUGCUAAUACCGCAUACGAUCUAAUCUCGGCAUCGAGGAUAGAUGAAAGGUGGCCUCUACAUGUAAGCUAUCACUGAAGGAGGGGAUUGCGUCUGAUUAGCUAGUUGGAGGGGUAACGGCCCACCAAGGCGAUGAUCAGUAGCCGGUCUGAGAGGAUGAACGGCCACAUUGGGAGUGAGACACGGCCCAGACUCCUACGGGAGGCAGCAGUGGGGAAUCUUCCGCAAUGGACGAAAGUCUGACGGAGCAACGCCGCGUGAGUGAUGACGGCCUUCGGGUUGUAAAGCUCUGUUAAUCGGGAUGAAAGGCCUUCUUGCGAAUAGUGAGAAGGAUUGACGGUACCGGAAUAGAAAGCAACGGCUAACUACGUG
rnacentral:rRNA from 1 species